rnacentral:lncRNA from 1 species
AUGAGUGUAUUUUUGGUAUGCAAAUUAUAUCUUACAGCUGUUAAAAGGACUGAAGGAGCUCACUCAGGACACGCACGUGGUUGGGGUGGAAUUUGGUGUUUCCCACUGUCCUUUUUAGUGGGGUGUCUCACAGCAUCCUUGGGAGCUGAAGCAAGAGUCAUCUUUCUUGGAUCACCACUAGCCAGUGAACUCUCCAAAAUUGGAUCAGAAAUGAAGAAGUCAUCGGAGUGGAAAAUUUAGGGUGAGAAGAACCAGAAGGCCGGCUGUUGUAAUAAGAAAGGCUUGGCACUGAGGCCAUGGAUGAAUGAGCUUCAAUGGCAGUGGUGGCAGUGGGGACCAGAAUCAAGAACAAAGCUAAAAAGUGUUCUAAGGCAAAAAUGUCUGAGCCUGGUGUCUGGAUGCAGGCAGCAGAUGGCUAUGAGGAGUCAUCAGGUGCUCUGAGAUUUCAACUCUGGAGGAAGAAUCAAGCAUGGUGACAUUUGCAGUCUUGAUGGGUACCCCAGUCUUCUCUCUAUAUGUGUAGUGGGCUCCUUUAUGUGUCUUGCUUUUGCCUAUGUGCUUCAAGACUUCCGCUUAGGUGCCUGAUCCUUCCCUUCUCCACCCAGAAGACCCCUAUUUGCCUUUCAAGACUUACAUCAAAGGGCUUUUCUUCCCUCCCCAGUAGAAGUUGCUGCUGGCUCUGAUAC